rnacentral:lncRNA from 1 species
AAAAAAAUAUUCUUUCUUGAAUUCGAAUGAAGGAAGUAGGUAAAGGCUUAUUUAAUGAAGACCAUAUAUGUAUCAAAAACUACAACUGGAUUACUGGUAGGUUCACAUCAACCUCGUCACGGUGUUUAGUUUCCUUGUGCAAAUUUGCUUCCUCCGGGUUUGUAUUGUUUCUUUUAAAGAAAAGUCAUAGGAUCUCUCAACGCUCAUAUAGGGUAAUUGCUAAAGAGAUUUUGUGGUCACUUUGUUGGCCUUCGG